AAUUUCACCAAAAAUCCCACCACCAGUCGUCCCCUCCCCCGCGCGAUCCAGCCGAGCCGAGCCACGCCACCACCGACGCGCCACCAGCGAACCCUAACCCCCGCCCGGAUCUGGAGCCGCCGCCGGCGCUCCCUCUCAUGGUCCCCGGCGGCGAGGGGGCCCCCGUCCGGCGGCGCUGCUGAGAUGCGACGAGACACGCCGCCGUCCACUGCCCCUUCAGCCUCCUCCUCGUCCUCCUCUCUCUUCGGCGGCGAGCAGCUGUUCGAGUCCGCGCCCAGCCCGCUCAUCUUCCUGCCCCUGCUCCUGAUCCAGGGCGGCGGUAUGGACCUCUCCGGCGUCGGCGAGAAGCUCCUCAGCUCAGUCCGCUCCGCCCGCUCCCUCGGCCUCCUCCCCCCGACCCCUGCCGCGCCCCCUCCCCGCCCCGAGGUUCCAGAACGAGCUGCGGCUGCGGCAGCAGCUGCGCGUGCGAUCGCGGGGUUGCCACCGCACGAGAGGAUCAGCCUGCCGGCGAAUUCAGAGGAUUUGGUCUCCAUCUACGGGAGCAACCCACAGGGGCAGCCCGUGGAGAAGCUCGAGGAGGUGUUUUAUGAGGAGGAGUUCGAUCCAAUAAAUUACAUUCUGCAAAGUAUUCCGGAUGAAGGCGGCGAUGCCACCUAUUUUGAUAAGCAGUCUACGUUGAGAUUAGCGCAGCUUGACAAGAUUGCAGAACGAUUGUCCCAUCAUGUUAUGGGUCACCAUGAAGAAAUGGUGAAGGGGAUGCAGUUAGUGAUGGAAUUAGAACAAGACUUAAAGGUUGCUAAUGUAAUCUGCAUGAAUGGACGAAGGCAUAUAACCUCUUCAAAGAAUGAGAUGUCAAGGGAUCUGGUUGUGAAUGUAAAAUCAAAGAAGAAACAAGAUUUGCUGGAUGUUCUUCCUAUUCUUACAGAGCUUCGUCAUGCACUAGACAUGCAGAUGGAACUUGAAACUUUAGUUGAGAAAGAGAAUUACUUUCAGGCAUUCCAAUUAUUGCCCGAAUAUUUGCAAGUCUUGGAGAAUUAUUCAGGCCUUUCUGCCGUACAAGAAAUGGGACGAUGGAUUGAGACAUGGUUAGCUCAGACAAUCCAAAAGUUGGACACCCAUUUACUAGGUGUAUGUCAGACCUUCAACGAAGAAAGCUAUCUAACUGUAAUUGAUGCAUAUGCACUGAUGGGUGACAUUGGUGGCAUGGCUGAAAAGAUGCAGAGUUUCUUUUUGCAGGAAGUACUCUCUCAGACACAUUUUGUCCUGAAAGAAAUGUUGGAAGAGGAUGUGGGAAAUAAUACGCAGAGAAAUAGGUUUACAUAUAGCGAUCUUUGUGUUCAAGUUCCUGAGUGCAAACUUCGCCCCUGUUUAUUAAGAACCCUUAAGAACUUAUUUUCAUUGAUGUGCUCAUAUUAUGCUAUUAUGAGCUUUGCCCCAGGAGAAAAGAAUAUUGAGUCCAAGGGCCCAGAUCUGGCAUACAAGAAUAACACACCUCAGAGUAGCAAUGAACCUUUAGUUGAUUCAGGAAGAGGUCAUUCAAGUGUAGCAGUCAUUCAGGAUGGUUCUGCACCUGAAAAGACUGACAGAAAAUCAUCACCUGAGGUCAGCAAUCCUGAUGCUAGUACAUCAGGAAUGGGUUCUCCGUUCUAUCAGCUGAGGACAGAUGCUACAAAGCUUGUUGCGCAUACAUUUGAAAGAGGGCGAAGAAAUCUUUGGCAACUGGCAACAAGUCGCUUAUCUGUCUUACUGUCUAGUUCGUCUGUUUGUUCAACUAGCACAUACCAAUUCCUGAAGAACUAUGAAGAUCUCACCAUUUUUAUUUUGGCUGGUGAAGCAUUUUGUGGGUUUGAAGCUAGCGAGUUCCGCCAGAAGUUGAAGACUGUCUGUUUGAACUACGUAGUGUCCUUUCACCGCCAAAAUAUAUAUGCACUUAAGAUGGUACUGGAAAAGGAAUCUUGGACAAUAAUGUCUGCUGAAGCUUCACAGAUAAUUAGUUUAGCAGGCCUAACUGGUGAUGGUGCUGCAUUGAUCUCUCCUACCGGUAGUAGUUCCAACUUGCCAAUAUAUUCUUACCGUGGGAAUUCUACUACGGACAAUUCAGGAAAGCAAAAGAAUGGAUUUUCUUCUUGGCUUAAGAUUGAAAACCCAUUUUCUUCUAAGCUAGAAAAUGGCACUGUGGAAUCCCCAAAGUCCAAUAUGUUUUUCAACUCAUCAGCUAGCAAUAAUCAUGGCAAUGGAAAUAAUUCAUCGUUUGAUGAAGAGAAUGAAGACCUUCUUGCAGAUUUCAUUGACGAAGAUAGUCAGUUGCCUAGUAGGAUACCAAAACCAAAAAUUGUAAAAGGCAAUUCUGCACAUUGGAAAGAUGGAGAUAUUUCAUCGCAGACAGGCUCAUCACUUUCUUUGUUAAGGAUGAUGGACAAAUAUGCCAGACUAAUGCAAAAGCUGGAAAGUGUCAAUGUUGAGCUUUUUAAGGGUAUCUCCCAACUGUUUAGCAUCUUCUAUCACUGCAUAUAUGAGACAUUUGGGCACCAAGACAGGAGUCAAAGUGGCAAGCCUUUACCAGAUUAUCAAUCAUUUCGGCUUAAAGCAGCUUUAUCAAAAAUAACACAAGACUCUGAUCAGUGGAUAAAAUCACAGAAUAUUUCAUAUUCACCUUCAUCACCUUUGUCAAUGAAUUCAACUUUUGCUCAAAUGGAUGUGAUGCCUACUGCACCUCCCAGCUCAAUGUUCACCUCCUAUGGAUUAAAGGAGAGAUGUGCAGCUGCUGAAACAAUAUCGUUGGUCGCUCGAGUUUUGAACAGAUCUAGAGCCCAUCUACACUCAGUGUUGUCAAAAAAUAACACUUCUGUUGUAGAAGAGUUCUACAGGACACUGGUGGAUUCUGUUCCAGAUUUGGCUGAGCACAUUCAUAGGACAAGUGCACGGAUGCUUUUGCAUAUUGAUGGGUACCCAGAUAAGAUUGCAAAUGCUAAAUGGGAGGUGAAGGAGCUUGGCAUAGAGCAUAAUGGAUAUGUUGACUUGUUAUUGGGUGAAUUCAAACACUACAAAACAAGAUUGGACCAUGGAGGAAUUUCUAAGGAGCUCCAACACCUCUUGCUGGAGUAUGGCAUAGAGAGCGUCACAGAAGUUUUAGUCGAAGGUCUCUCUAGAGUGAAACGGUGCACUGAUGAAGGGCGUGCUUUGAUGUCACUUGACCUCCAGGUACUAAUUAAUGGACUGCAACACAUUGUAUCAGCGAAUGUUAAGCCAAAGCUGCAAACUGUGGACACUUUCAUAAAGGCUUACUAUUUGCCAGAGACCGAGUAUGUUCACUGGGCACGGUCUCAUCCAGAAUACAGCAAAAGUCAGGUCGUCGGGUUGGUUAACCUGGUGGCCACCAUGAAAGGAUGGAAACGGAAAACGAGAUUGGAAACGGUGGAGAAGAUUGAGGCAGGGCCAUAGCUGAAGAUUUUUGCUGUUUUGUUUUUGUUUGCUUCAGCUGCACGUAGAGCUGUAUUUUCACUUCUUCUUCUUUUUUACUUUCUUACUGCCCCCUUCUUUUCUAAUUCAUUUUUGUCAAUUCUUUCUCCCUCUGGCCAUUUUGAUGCUAACCCCAUCAGGACCAGCACCCAUCCAUGGUGUAUAUCUAUGCGACGACCUUGUAUCAUAUCAGAUGUCUUAAAGUAUUGCACGAAUGCGUCGCAGAUGCAUUAGUUCUGGUAUUCAUUUCAGCCUUAAUUCUAAUCGAUGAUGCUGCAAUAAAUUCAUGUACUCCAAAUCUUAGGAUUGUGCAAAACUUUUUUCUAAUCGUUGAUGCUGUAAUAAAUUCAUGUA